rnacentral:rRNA from 1 species
AUUGAACGCUGGCGGCAUGCCUUACACAUGCAAGUCGAACGGCAGCACGGGUGCUUGCACCUGGUGGCGAGUGGCGAACGGGUGAGUAAUACAUCGGAACAUGUCCUGUAGUGGGGGAUAGCCCGGCGAAAGCCGGAUUAAUACCGCAUACGAACUACGGAUGAAAGCGGGGGCCCUUCGGGCCUCGCGCUAUAGGGUUGGCCGAUGGCUGAUUAGCUAGUUGGUGGGGUAAAGGCCUAACAAGGCGACGAUCAGUAGCUGGUCUGAGAGGACGACCAGCCACACUGGGACUGAGACACGGCCCAGACUCCUACGGGAGGCAGCAGUGGGGAAUUUUGGACAAUGGGCGAAAGCCUGAUCCAGCAAUGCCGCGUGUGUGAAGAAGGCCUUCGGGUUGUAAAGCACUUUUGUCCGGAAAGAAAUCCUUGGCCCUAAUACGGUCGGGGGAUGACGGUACCGGAAGAAUAAGCACCGGCUAACUACGUGC